GACGAACGCUGGCGGCGUGCUUAACACAUGCAAGUCGAACGGAAAGGCUCCAGCUUGCUGGAGUACUCGAGUGGCGAACGGGUGAGUAACACGUGGGUGAUCUGCCCUGCACUUCGGGAUAAGCCUGGGAAACUGGGUCUAAUACCGGAUAGGACCGCACUUUGGUGUGUGUGGUGGAAAGGUUUUUCUGGUGUGGGAUGAGCUCGCGGCCUAUCAGUUUGUUGGUGGGGUAAUGGCCUACCAAGACGGCGACGGGUAGCCGGCCUGAGAGGGUGGACGGUCACAGUGGGACUGAGAUACGGCCCAGACUCCUACGGGAGGCAGCAGUGGGGAAUAUUGCACAAUGGGGGAAACCCUGAUGCAGCGACGCCGCGUGGGGGAUGAAGGCCUUCGGGUUGUAAACUCCUUUCGCUAGGGACGAAGCUUUUUGUGACGGUACCUGGAGAAGAAGCACCGGCUAACUACGUG
rnacentral:rRNA from 1 species